rnacentral:rRNA from 1 species
GAUGAACGCUGGCGACGUGCCUAAUGCAUGCAAGUCGCACGCACAGCCCUUCGGGGCUGUGAGUGGCGGACGGCUGAGGAACACGUGGGUAUCUGCCCUCCAGUGGGGGACAACAUGCCGAAAGGCGUGCUAAUCCCGCAUACGUUCCCUCUUUACCGAGGGAAGAAAGCCUUACGGCGCUGGAAGAGGAGCCUGCGGCCCAUCAGGUAGUUGGCGGGGUAAUGGCCCACCAAGCCGGUGACGGGUCCCUGGUCUGAGAGGACGACCAGGCAGACUGGGACUGAGAACGGCCCAGACUCCUACGGGA